AGGAUUUAAUUAGGAUAACAAGCAGCAAAUUGAUAAAAGAACAGGAGGACUCAGGAAUUGUUUUGUUGUCGUCUUCAUGUUUCAGACCUCCUAACUGGCUGCUUAGUAUGUGUUCCGAGGUUAGUUAUUCCAUCACCAGGUGAAAGGACUUAAAGUCACUGAAGUUAGGCCUCUUGAUUUAACUUCACAUUUGGCCUCAUUACUUGCUGUCGCAUGAAAUAACUACGCUUGAGGUUUCCUUCUCCCAUCUAUCCUCUACCCCUCCGCCUUUCUCCUCGCUGCUGCUGUGCCUGUGAAUCACUAGAUGGUGCUAAGACCAUCUAGUUGGUUAUAGCUGCCAGAGACUCAGGAAAGUAGUUAUUGGAGGAGUCAAGAGGGCUGGACCUGAGAACAGGAAGAUCCCUUCAAAGGUAAUCUGGGCAGCACUUCCGUUUUACAAACGAGGAAACUGAAACUCAGUGAAAAUAAGCAAUUUGUCAGAGUCCCCUAGACUUUUCUUCUUCUUCUCCUCCCCCUUCCCCCCUCCUCCUGUUUGUUAAUAGCUCCCACUGUAAUCUCAUCACCUGAGAAGGAGCCCAGGAAGGAAUAAAUCUCAGAGAGUGAGUCGGCCAGAUUUGCUGUGCAGAAAGAGCAUUCUGACAGCUGCAAGGUAUCAUUUACCAGAGCACUUUUCUUCGGGCUGCCACCACUGAUGAUGGCAUCGUCUUUCUCUCCUGACCCAUCGUUACUAAGACCAGCCCGAAGUGGCCUGCUUGCUGGGGAGCUGUGCCUUUCUUUGUUUCCAAGCCUGGGGUUUUCUUUAAGAGGUAAUGAAAGCUCCCAUUUAUUGAGGGCUUACCACGUGUCAGGUAUGUUUUUAUUUUGUCUCUAAUGCUCCGGGAUCCUCCCCUGCCAAGAAAUGUCUGCUCGGCUCUCCCCUUUGGCCACCCACUGCGCCCCCAGGCCUCACUGUGUGCCAGCACGUGAUGGGGCUCCGUGCAGGUCUAAAGAGUGUUGACUCUCCGCAUUACACAUGAGGAAGCUGCGGAGCGGGUUAUGGGCUCCGCUUCAUUAUUCGCGUAUGCAUUGAACAAGUACUUAGUUUAGACAGAGCAGUUAAGGGAGGCUUCUCUGAGAAGGUGACGCCUGAGCUCAAGGGUGGGAAGGAGCCGUCAUAUAUGGAACGGAAGAGCUCUCAGGCCUGGGCUGCUGUGGGGAAGCCCACUCUGCCGGGAUUUGUACCCAGAAGCUCAUCCUCACUUUUUGAUUGUCUAAACACAUUAGUGACCCGUCUUCCUACUCCCUGAGCUCGAAAAUAUUUUUCCUGUAGGAGAGGGUUUGUUUGAUCACAUGGCACCCUCUGCCCCUCCACACUGCCGUGAACAUUGUCAUGUGUGUCCGCUGAGAAGUGCCAGCUGCUUGGACCACAGUUCUUGCCGCCUGCAACGUGAUGUUCCACGGCUUCAGUGGAAUGUAGAAAUCUUUUCACCAUAUGGACUUUUUUUUUUAUAUUUAUUUAUUAGUUUGGCUGCGUCGGGUCUUAAUUGUGGCACAUGGGAUCUUUGUU